UACAGAGGUCUCAAGCGUUGUUCGGAUUCAUUGGGCGUAAAGGGUGCGUAGGCGGCGCGGUAAGUCGGGUGUGAAAUCUUGGAGCUUAACUCCGAAACUGCAUUCGAUACUGCCGUGCUUGAGGACUGGAGAGGAGACUGGAAUUUACGGUGUAGCGGUGAAAUGCGUAGAUAUCGUAAGGAAGACCAGUGGCGAAGGCGGGUCUCGUGGACGAGU
rnacentral:rRNA from 1 species